UCAUGUCCUCUAGUCUUUGUAUUGAGAAAUAGCAUGAUCUUUCACUAUUCAUCUGCAUGCCACCCACAUGUCUUCCCUGGAAUACUGUUUAAAAAUUUGUGCCACAAUAACCAACUGCCAGUCUUCUGCACCAAAGGAGAUUUAAAUGGGAAACUGCAUGCUAGUGUUAGGAGUUGUUAUUUUGCUCUGGAGUUCCUUUAGAGCCCUUUGUCAGACCUGGCAGUUACUGUUCAUUUUGUCUAUUUGUUCCAUAACGUCUACCAAAAUCUUGAUUAGAGACAGAUUUUACUGACACGUGCUUGUAAGGAAGGCUCUGCCAUGGGAAGCUCUCCAGACUCCUUCACUGUGAUCACAGCUGAAGCCACCGGGACUACUGCCAUUGACUUCAAGGUGAACAGGAUUGGGCCACAAAUGCAGCAGUAAGGAUAACUGGAGACAGCAGGUACCACUGGUGAUGCUGAAAUGGAAGAGACUGGAACGGCUGAGAUGGCACUUAAGGAUGGCCUUUUCCUAGAAGACCUUCCCCCUGCACGGUAUUGCUUCUCCGUCUAAGAAAUGAGCACAGAGUUCAAGAGGAUUAUGUAGACAAAGGAUGACCUCUAACGACUGCAAAACUUCAAAAUAAGUAGGAGGAUUUCUCUGAACGUCUGCUGGAGCUGCAGAUGAAGCACACUGAGUUUCUUUUGUUCACUCAGAAGAACCAGCACAUCAUCCUCAUCUCUGACUGCAACUCCUGGGACAUCUGGUGCAGGCAGGUCAACUGUUGCACUUGUCGGACUGUAGCAAGGGUGUCUGGUUUCUCUCUAGUGCAGUAUUGUAGCCACCAGGCCCCUGGAGCCUGGUGAAGAUUUCAAUCCCCACUUGCAUUAGUGGGACCCAUGUUGUUUGCCCCCACUCAGGCCUGGAACAUACAAAAGGCACCUUCACUGUCGUGCAGCGAUCUGAUCACCGGAAUGGGCUCAAUAACGUCAUCCACAGUAACAGUUCAGAGAAAUUAGUGACGCUAAAAUUUUGGGGAACUUUCAUUCAUUUUCUCUAAUAUAAAAGGCAUAAGCAUGUAUUUUAACGGCACAAACAAACCUUCCUUUUUUCUUAGAAAUCUUCUUUAACCUCUAUUUCUAUGCCUAAUUAAAACUUCCCCUAGACAUUUGGACUACAAGAAAAAAAGAAAAAGCCCAACCAAAUACAGGAUGACAGUACAGCAUGCAUUUGGGAGAUUAACGAAUAUCUGAUAAAGACUUAGUGUGAAAAGCACUCCUUCUGCACUAUGACUUAGUGCAUUCUGCACAAAGUGAGAGAAAAAGAUCUCUCUGAGGUCAAGAAAACAGGACUAGAAACACGUAAAAUAGCUGCUAAAGAGACAGACACUCCUGAAAGAGGCACUUAGUCUAAGAUGGCUUGUGCACAUGCCUUGAGGAAAAUCCUUGUAAGUUCUUACAUACUGUUCGGGGAUUUCUGGCAACUCUGCGUUAUGAAUUGUGUAAACAGUAAAUGUUAGAUGAUUAAAGAAAAGAAAAACUCCUUUUAAACUAUGAAAGCAAGACUUUUUUGUCUUAAAAUGUAUGACAAGAACAUGAUUUGUAGAUGAAACACAAAUUGUCAGAACAUCUUGAACUGCACAAUUUAAAUCAGGAUUCAGCUUAAAAGGGCUUGAUGUCACGUGCAGCACAGAAAGCUGUCAGCUUCUUCUCCAGGGGCCUGACCAAAAGUCCUAUCGGCUAUUCAUUACAUACACCAUGUAUUAGAGGACUCUGAAGAGAGAGCUGGACAGGCAGAAAGUGCUUGUAACUGGUAACUGUGCUGGCAUGUACCUCUCCUUGGUAGUCUCAGUACUUUUGCAAUAGCUGGAAUUGGAACAAACUUUUUGGCUGCUAGGGGAGCAGUGUGCUUGCAACACCUUGGCAUUGCUAGUCACUAUAUCACUAUUCCCUGCCACUAAACUCCCCAUUUUCUUUUCUACAGCCUUCUCAGGGCUCUGUAGAUUUAAAAUCAUACCCUUUUCAAUCAAAUUUCAUUUACUUGUAUCAUAUCCUUUUCAAUCAAAUUUCAUUUACUUCUUUACCCCCUCCUUUGGGACAGGGAUAUCCUCCUUCGUGGAUAUAGGAGUUUCUCUCUUUUUUUUUUCAGACUCAGUCCUUUUCCUCCAUGUCUGUGCCUCAUGGAUGACUCCACAACCAUCAAAAAAUCUCUUUGUUCUUUUCUUUAAAUUCACCGAGUCAUUCUUGGAAAGGACAUCAAGCCUACACCAAUUGUCUAAAUUUAUAUGCCUCCCUGCUUCCCUUGUAACGCUGUCUGUUCUCUGCUGCAUAAGAAUAUCAGUCUCAUUUCCCUAUAUAUCAACAGCUGUGUUAGUUUAUUUUUUGCUUUGUUUUUUUUUUCCCCUUCUAAAUCUGCUAUACCAGGGAACUGAACUGUGCUAUGCUUAGGUGAAAAGAACUUAAAGUGUAUUUUCUGGGCUUUAUACAUCAAUAAUUUGUAUUCUUUUCAGACAAAAAAAAGCACUUAGCUUUAUCUAAAUAAAAAUCUUAGCGUUUGAUGUAUCUCUUUCAUCUGUUGUCUCUCUCAUGUCAAAGAGUCAUUGGCAAUAGUGACAGAAGGGAUGGCUGGGAAAUUUCCAAUGAAUUUUUUUUCACCCCCAAAAGCUGGUUCAUUGAAAACAAAACAUCACAAAAAGUCUGACUCUUGACAGUCUUCUGAUAGACUAGACCGCAAGUUUCAAAACUUCUUUGCCAGUUCUGGGACACAUGGCCUUAUACCCUAGAUACCAGUUUCUGUCAUUCCACAAAAGGAAUAAUGAUGACAGUUCCCAAGACUGUUUCUACACAGAAUGUUAACACUAAUUUGUUAAUUAGUUUCCCAGGAUACUCAGCUUCAACAGCCUAAUGAAUCAUGUGCUCUAAGUAUCAAACACGGGGUUUUGGUGUCUGGCAACCCUUGUGUACUCCACUCCCAGACUGGUGGACAGCUCGCCUGAUAGUUCCUCUGCGCAGGGACUGUUGUUGGGUUCACUGCUGAAGUACCCAAGGAGCAUUACAUGUAUGAAUUUCAUCCACUGAUGAGGGUGACUGCAUUUAAGAUGGACCGCUUUCUUAGCAGGAAGCCAGUCAUCACAAAGCGCAGGACAUAACUUCAGAGAAAGAGAAAACAGAUUCCCAAAGCCUUGAAAUAAUGAUAAGACAUCAGAUUCCCAUCAUGGAUAAGACUGGAGAAAUGGUUUUAAGGUUGUUAUUUGGAGAGACUAUACCUCUAACUGCUAAGAGCAAAGCGAAUGUGGUGAAGAAAUCUGCUGCGAAGCCUGUGUGCUUUACUCCCCUCCCAGAGCCUCCCCAAACAGCUUGUGCAAAUAACUGGAGCCCAGGAUCAAUGUCAGUCCAAAGGGGUACCGGCUUCUGUUAUAAUGAAAAUAUUCGCAUUACUCGUUUGUGUGCUGCCCUAUGUUUUCCUUUCUUUGCCAAUUUUUCUCUCUACUGUCAGCAUGCAGGUACAACACUGCUUGCUAUGGUUUGUAGCAUUUCUUUUCAACCCUGCAAAGUUGUAACCAGCUCUUUCUUCUCAGUGUGUUAAGAGAUAUUUUGUAAAUGUAUUCAAAAAUCAUGAAA